GUUGGGGAGGCCGAAUAGUUAAGGCGUUGGAAUAGAAAUCCAAUGGGAUCUUCCCGCGCAGGUUCGAAUCCUGCUCGCAACG
rnacentral:tRNA from 1 species